UCCGUGGACACACACACACUAACCCGUUCUGACAUGCAGACAUGCACACUGUGACGCAGAUACGCAGCAGGACGUUACGUACACAUGGGGACACACCCGUCUACAGUCCAGUAAGGAAAAUAAAAGAAUGAGACGUGUGAGCUGAGGGCUGAAGUUAUUCUCCACCAAUCUGGAACAGAGUUCCAUUACAGAGACACACUGCAGCAGACAUUACGGAUCCAUAACCAGCUUCAAGACUUCUAAAGGAUGAAGAACCUUAAACUUCUCAUCCUCUCUCUCUCCAUCUGCCUGUUGCUGGGCAACCUGGGGGUGAGUGGCUACAGUAAUGUCAAACCCUGUCAACGGUCCCGAUGCAAUAACUGCCAUGAAAAGUUCCUAUACCGGCAUGUGCGUCCAAAUAUCCCGCUAACGACGGACCGCAACGCGUGGGAGAAGUAUCUACGUGAACAAAAUGACUGCUCAAGACCCACGCAGUCCUUCCUCCAUCCCAAAGACCGGGAGAGGGUGGACGCGGUCUGCUCCAGCUCUGGGGGAAAGAGGUACCAGGGGAACCUGUGCAUCAGCCAAAGCCCGUUCACAUUUCUAACAGUGAGGAGUGAGACUGGGACCUGCGGUGUGUCCAGUGUGCGGGAAGAGACCAAGCAUUUGAUCCUGGCAUGUGAGGUGCUGGAGAACAGGUGUGUGCCGGUCCACUUCGAGGGGAACCGCGAGGGGAGCAAGCCCGACAAUAACGCUGCAGGAUGUGGCAGCACGGAGAAAGGGAAGGGCUCAAGCUUCAAAGUAUCAGGAAUGUGGCUGGCAUCUUCAUUGAUACUCAUGUUUCUCUCACAACUCCUUUUCUGAACAGUUAAUGGGGAGGAGGGGGUGGGGGGCAGAUAGUCAAACAAUAUAUCAAAAGGAAGUUUGUUUUAAAGUGUCUGUCCUACACUCUAAAAAGAAAAUGUUCCUGGAGUAUCCUUUAGGGGUUCUUCAAAUGUAAUGUGUGGGUAAACCACUAUGAAUUCUUCAAAGAACCCCUUUUAAUGGAUCCUCAGAGAAGCUUUUGAAGAACCUUUGGGGUACAACGACCCCUCUCCCAUUAUUAAUAAAGGUAAUAACAAAAACAACAAUAACACAAUAUUUUAUUGUUCUCAGUGUUUAUUAUGAUUGUAGUGGUAAAAGCAGAAUAAUAAAAUCUAAAUAUGAUGUAAACUCCCAGCAGAGCCCCAAGUCCAGUGGAAGUCCAAUGGAUGUAUAUCCUCUGGUGUGUUGAUGUCAUUGUGUUGAUGUUCUCCGUAUCCAUACCCAGAAUGAGGCGUAUUUCUGUCUGUAAUAAUGCCCUUUUGUGGGGAAAACUCAUUCUAAUUGGCUGGGCCUGGCUCCCCAGUAGGAGGGCCUAUGCCCUCCCUGGCCCACCCAUGGCUGCGCCCCUGCCCAGUCAUGUGAAAUCCAUAGAUUAGGCCUAAUUUAUUUAUUUCAAUUGACAGAUUUCCUUAAUUAACUGUAACUCAGCAAAAUGUUUGAAAUAGUUGCAUGUUGCGUUUAUAUUUUUGUUCCGUAUACUUCCAUAUAUACUUCCAUUCAUUGGUGAGUAGCCCAAACCGUUCUGAAGCUACAGACAGAAGUUGGCAGAUCGGUGGUACCGACUUGCGGGGGUCGUAGAAAACUGAGAACACCAUCAUGUUGGUGAGAGUCUCAUCUUUCCAUAGAAGGGUCGUAUUAGUGUGUUGACCAAACCGUUCGGACGCUACAGACGUUUUUGUGAGAAGAACGAUUUCCGCCAUGUCUCAUGGUCUGACAAACAGUAGCUUGGUCACCUUCCACCACAGAUGCGGAAGGACGCCGUUGGAAGGACGCCAUGAGGUGAAUUGAGACGCAGCCCAUCCAAAAGGCUACAUAUCUCUAGCUUAAAGCUACAAUAUGUAACUUUUUGGGCAACCCAAACAAAUUCACAUAGAAAUAUGAGUUAUGGAUCUUAUAUAGAUCAAUAACUAUAUAGAUCUCUAUAGAUCAAGUCUAAGAAGCGGUAGAUCUGUUCUAUGUGUGCUAUUUUCGCGUCUUUUACUUUCAGUUUUGUACACAAGCAAUAUUUUUGGUUAUUGAAAACAUAUUUCACAGCAGUUUAGGUGGUACUAUGAUUCUCUACACAAUGACUGCUUGUUUUGUCAUAAAAUUCUAAUAGUUUACCUAAUUUCAGUUUAUCAACCAGGAAAUGGCAGAGUGAUUUCUUAAUAGUACAUCUUUAAACAGAGGGAUUUUGAUGGGGAUUUUUUAAAUUAUUCGAAUUAGAUUUCAGCGGGGGGCGCAGACAUCGACUCUAGGGGGUGUAGACUGCCAUGUAUUCAGGUCUGGUCCUGGGCUAUAACGUUUCCCUCACAACAUUUAAAAGACUGCCAUGUAUUCAGGUCUCGUCCUGGACUAUAACGUUUCCCUCACAACAUUUAAAAGACUGCCAUGUAUUCAGGUCUCGUCCUGGACUAUAACGUUUCCCUCACAACAUUUAAAAGACUGCCAUGUAUUCAGGUCUCGUCCUGGACUAUAACGUUUCCCUCACAACAUUUAAAAGACUGCCAUGUAUUCAGGUCUCGUCCUGGACUAUAACGUUUCCCUCACAACAUUUAAAAGACUGACAUUUAUUCAGGUCUCGUCCUGGGCUAUAACGUUUCCCUCACAACAUUUAAAACUGCCAUCUAUUCAGGUCUGACCCUGGGUCUGACCCUGGGCUAUGAUAGCCUGGGUACCUUGUACUCUGUGUCAUAUGCCAAAGAUGUUUAGCAAAAAAAGAGUGGCAAGAUGGGGAAUGAUAACUAAACAGACUGGUACCCGUACCAGACUAGUGCUUUGACGUUUCACACACAACAGUUAAAAGACUGACAUGUUUUGUUCUCUCACGACAUCUAUUCUGAACAGUUGAAAGACUGGUCAUUUGUUUUGUCAUAUGUAUGUUAUGGACGGUGUUGCCUGUUCCUGUGUGUCAGUCAGGGAUCUGUCUAUGGCUGUGGGCCCCAGCCUAAUGUUGGCGUCAGCAUUUCAUUACCUUGUACUUCAUUUGAAAAAGUGUAUUGUAUCAUGCUGAAUAUAUGCACUAUGAAUAAAGGUUGAUUUGGUAGAAUGUU